GGACGUGUGCGAAGCCCUUAACCAAAAUGGAAGCAGAAAGCUUCCACUUUUCAGGGUUUUAGCCAGGGUUUGGGUUUACUUCUCAAAUUCUCUCUUCACUUUCUCCUCUGCCUUAAACACCCAGACCCAGUUCCCUAAAACAAAUCGAGUGGCUUCAUCUCAUGAUCAAGGCGUAUCCAAGCUUUACAUCAUAACAAGGGGUUGGUUGCUUCAAUUUUCUGUAAGAACUCAAAACUCGAUAGUUUGUUUAACUCUUUUUUCUCACUUUCUGAUAAUUUAGCUUUGAGUAGCAUAGCCAGACAGCUCCUUUUGGAUUCCGUUUUACUCAUUUUCUCUCAUAGUUUUCGUUCACCUUUGUAGUAUUAAUGCUGAUUAUAAACCCAGAAAUCACAUAAAAAAGGGUGGUUCUUGAUUUCACCAUCUCCAAAUGCAUCGUCGUCUUGCAAUAUUCACCCACAAGAUUUUCAUUAAUACCAAUCCUAUCCCAACCACAACAGCCACCGGCACUACCUUUUUGUACACUCAAUCCAAUCCCUUAAACCCCAGGACUAAUGGGUUGGCUUUCUUUCGUUUACUAUCAUUCACUCCGGUGCACAGGCGUGCACCGGACCCUGAUGACCCAUCCAACCUGAUGAAGGAAGAUGGUGUCUCAGUUUGCUCUCAAAUGUGGAUAGAGAAUUUUCGAGAACCGGAUAGAAUUUUGAGCAAUUUGACAGCUUAUCUUCGCCGGUUUGAAUUGUGGGUAUUGGCUUAUCAGAAAGUGUGUGCUGAUGACAUGGGAGCUUAUAUGCCCCGCAGUGCUAUACAAAGGUCUGCAUUGGAGGACUUGUUAGCACUUAAAAAUGCGGUUCUUGAUAAUAGGUUUAAGUGGGGUGCCAGGUUGGAUUUUUUUAUAAAGUCCCCGAAGGAUAAGACUGAAUAUCAGUCUUUGUCGAAGAGGAAGAUUAAGGCAAUUUUGACAACUACACAACCGGCGGCAUUUCAGGAUAAGAUAGUUCAGGAGGUGUUGUUUAUGAUUUUGGAGCCGAUAUAUGAAGCACGGUUUUCUCAAAAGUCAUUUGCUUUUAGACCUGGUAGAAAUGCACAUACGGUGUUGAAGGUGAUUAGGAGGAAUUUUGCAGGGUAUUUGUGGUAUAUGCGAGGGGAUUUGAGCACAGUUUUGGAUGGAAUGAAAGUGGGGUUAGUGAUAAGUGCUUUGAUGAGGGAUGUGAGGGAUAAGAAAGUGAUUGAUUUGAUAAAGACAGCAUUGACUACUCCUGUGAUCACUAGUCGUGUGGAAGAGCCAAAAAAGAAGACGAAGAGGAAGUAUCAGAAAAAGAGGGUUUUGGCAGAGGAUGAGCCGAAGCCAGAUCCAUAUUGGCUAGACACUUUUUUUGGGUUUGCACCUGAGGAGGCAGAGAAGGUUCCUUCAUGGGGGCACUGUGGGAUUCUCAGUCCUCUUUUGGCUAAUAUCUGCUUAGAUGAAUUGGACCGUUGGAUGGAGGGUAAGAUCAAGGAGUUCUAUCGUCCUUCAAAGAGUGAUGUCAUAUGGAAUAGUCCAGAAGGGGAAGCAGAACAGGGGAAUACAUCUUGGCCAGAAUUUGUGCCAACAAGUGGCCCAGACAAAACUAGGAAGAUGGAUUAUGUUAGACAUGGGGGUCACAUUUUGAUUGGUAUGCGAGGACCUAGAGCAGAUGCAGCUACAUUGAGGAAGCAAUUGAUUGAGUUUGUUGAUCAGAAAUACAUGCUUAAGCUUGACAAUGAGAGCCUCCCGAUCGAGCACAUAACUAAAGGUAUAAUGUUUCUUGAUCACGUGUUGUGCCGAAGAGUUGUGUAUCCAACUCUACGGUACACUGCCACUGGUGGGAAGAUCAUUAGUGAAAAAGGUGUGGGCACCCUUUUGUCAGUCACAGCGAGCUUGAAACAAUGCAUUAAGCAAUUUAGGAAGUUGAACUUUCUGAAAGGGGACAGAGAUCCAGACCCACAGCCUUGUUUCAGGAUGUUCCAUGCUACUCAAGCUCACACCAAUGCACAAAUGAACAAAUUUUUGUCAACAAUGGUUGAGUGGUAUAGAUAUGCUGACAAUCGGAAGAAAAUUGUGAACUUCUGUUCUUACAUUAUAAGGGGUUCACUUGCAAAGCUUUAUGCUGCAAAAUACAAGUUGCGUUCACGUGCAAAGGUGUAUAAGAUUGGUUCUCGGAAUUUGAGUCGUCCUUUGAAGGAGAAGAAAGGGUCUUCACCUGAUUAUCACAAUUUACUAAGAAUGGGCCUCGCGGAGUCAAUUGAUGGGCUUCAGUAUACCAGGAUGUCUCAUGUACCCGAGACUGAUUACACCCCAUUUCCAAGUAAUUGGAUACCUGAUCAUGAGAAGGCAUUGCUUGAAUAUAUAAGGCUUGAUGAUCCAAAAACUCUUGAGGAUCAACGAUUUACCAUGAGAGAGCAAGGUCUGGUUUCACCGCAGGACUACAUUUCGAUGCUUGUUUGGAACUACAAGCGAAACGCUAUUUCGAUGGAUCAGCUUUCCCUCAUAAAAAGUGGUGGAAAUAAGGCAGAAAGAGAGCAACGGUUGCUCUUGGGCUCUGAUCGUGAUAGUUAUGAUCAGAGAAGCAAAGAAGAGGAAGAGCAUGAAGAAGAGUUUGAUGUGGCAGAAAUAUAAGAAUACACCAUUGAGUUCGCGCUGGCUGCUAUUUCAUUGAUGUUGGUUUUGCAUUUUGCUUUGGGCCUAUCUGUUUGCUUUGUUGUGGAUCAUUAAGAUGAGGUUGGGAGAUCUUUGAAUGACUAAGCAGGAGCCCAUUUUGCACAUAUUAUCUAUCCCGCAUUCCUUAUUGCAGAGUUGUCGGGAAAAUUCCUUUACAACUGUUUUUUUGGUAUGUGUGUGCCAUUCAAGGGUUCCUUUUGAAUGGUAGGUUAUGCCAAUGGCUUCAAUCCUACUUAGCUUUCUUUGCCUUUCUUCUAUGCUUUUGUUUUCCACUACUUGCUUCCUUAUUCAUUCUCCUUUUUGCUUCUAUGCCUUCACCCCUCCAAGAUUUGUGUGUUUUGUCCUAUUAACGGCUGACCAAUUUCAUGGGGGAUAUGUUGAAGUUUGGCCCACAAUUUCUAAUGUCUUAGAAUUGUAUAUUGAGUUUCACUAUUUCAGUUGCUCUUCUUGUUUAUCAUGCACAUAUGGUCCUAUUUUUAAUCUGUGCAAAUGUUGAGACCCACAUAAUUUGGUGACUUCAUAAAAGCCCUCAUUGGGUUCAAGAUCCUGCAACACCAUGGCCAAUAGUUACAUGCCUCCAAGGAUGACCGCGGGGGGCUGUGGUGUUGCAUUUGGGAAUUUCCUAGAGAUAGGACCGCAAUUACUUGGGAUAGUUCUUUGAUGAUGCUCGGUUGAGUUUUCAUCUGUCGAGUCUUCACCUGAGUGCCACAAUUUGUUAGAAAUGGUCCUCGUGGAGUAAAUUGACAGGCUUCAGUAUACCAGGAUGUCUCUUGUGCCCAAGACUGAUUGCACCUUAUCUCCAUGUAAUUGGAUACCUGAUCAGGAGAAGGCAUCGCAUUAAUAUAUAAGAUUGAUGAUCCAAAAACUCUGGAGGAUUAACGAUGUUGCCUCUGUUGCAUUGGAGAACACGGGCUGAUUUCACCUCAAUUAAUUCUACAUUGUGAUGCUGGUUUGAAAUUCUGAUGGACCAGCUUUUCCUCUUUAAAAUGCAAUCCUGACGGAUCAGCUUUUCCUCAUUAAGUGGUGGUAAUAACGAAGAAAAGAGCACCAGUUCCUGUUGGGCUGUGGUCAUGAUAUUAGAAAAUCGAAGUAGCAGAGGAAGCAAAGAAGGGUCUCCCGUUGCAGAAAUGUAAGGUAACUUCUGAUUUUUCUGUGGUUACCAGGUAAAAUUUUCUGUAAUCGGGUUCAUACUGUUUAGAGAUAGCAAAGUAGAAUGGCUUUUCCUCCAUGGAACAAAGCUAAAUCAGCUACGAUUAAUGAAUAUGAAGAUUCUUAUAUAAAUAUAUUUAAUCAACUUCAAAGUUAGAAGAGUC